UACGUAGGGUGCGAGCGUUAAUCGGAAUUACUGGGCGUAAAGCGUGCGCAGGCGGUUUUGUAAGUCUGACGUGAAAUCCCCGGGCUUAACCUGGGAACUGCAUUUGUGACUGCAUGGCUGGAGUGCGGCAGAGGGGGGAUGGAAUUCCGCGUGUAGCAGUGAAAUGCGUAGAUAUCGAGAGGAACACCGGUGGCGAAGGCGGCCAACUGGACGAAAUACUGACGCUGGAGACACGAAAGCGUGGGGAGCAAACAGG
rnacentral:rRNA from 1 species